rnacentral:rRNA from 1 species
AGCGAACGCUGGCGGCAGGCCUAACACAUGCAAGUCGAACGAACUCUUCGGAGUUAGUGGCGGACGGGUGAGUAACACGUGGGAACGUGCCUUUAGGUUCGGAAUAACUCAGGGAAACUUGUGCUAAUACCGAAUGUGCCCUUCGGGGGAAAGAUUUAUCGCCUUUAGAGCGGCCCGCGUCGGAUUAGCUAGUUGGUGAGGUAAAGGCUCACCAAGGCGACGAUCAGUAGCUGGUCUGAGAGGAUGAUCAGCCACAUUGGGACUGAGACACGGCCCAAACUCCUACGGGAGGCAGCAGUGGGGAAUCUUGCGCAAUGGGCGAAAGCCUGACGCAGCCAUGCCGCGUGAAUGAUGAAGGUCUUAGGAUUGUAAAAUUCUUUCACCGGGGACGAUAAUGACGGUACCCGGAGAAGAAGCCCCGGCUAACUUCGUG